UAUUUGUGUAUAAUUUUUACUGUAGAAUAAUUACUAUUAAUAUACUUAUAGAGGUUAGAUGCCAUUCGAUUUUAAAUAUAUCUAGUUUUUUAAGAAAAAAAUUUAAUUUUAUUUUUAUUUAAUUAUAAAAUUUACUUUUUAAUUUUAUAAUAGUAAAAUUUUAUUUUUUAAGGGAUGAGCUUUAAAAAAUAUUUAUAUAAUUUAUUAGUUUUUUUUAUUAAGUAGGAUUAAAAGUUUCUAUCUUUGAAAGUGUUUUAUAACAGUUUAAGAUAUUUAUAAAAUUUAUAUGUAUAAUAAAUUUAUUUUUUUUAUUAAAAUUUAGAUCUAAAUUUUUUACAUCUAGUAAUUAUGAUAAAAUUAGUAUAAUAUUAUGUAUAGGUUUUAUAUCUAUUAAAGGUUAGAUAAAGGAAUUCGGCAAAAAUAUUUUUCACCUGUUUAAUAAAAACAUGGCCUUUUGAUUAUAAUUUAAGGUCUAGCCUGCCCUAUGAUGUAACAGUUAAAUGGCCGCGGUAUUUUGACCGUGCAAAGGUAGCAUAAUCAGUAGUUUUUUAAUUGAAAGCUAGUAUGAAGGGUUGAAUGAGAAAAUAACUGUCUCUAUUUAAAUUUUUUAGAAUUUUAUUUUUAAGUAAAAAAGCUUAAAUAUAUAUUGAAGACGAGAAGACCCUAUAGAGUUUUAUAAAUUUGGCUGUUAGGUGUUUUAAAAUUAUAAAAUUUAAUAGUCAGACUUUAUUUAGUUGGGGUGAUUGAAAAAUUUAGUUAACUUUUUUUUCAUAGAAACAUUUAUUUAUGAAAAAUUGAUCCUUUUAUUAAGAUUAAAAGAUAAAAUUACCUUAGGGAUAACAGCGUAAUUUUUUUUAAGAGCCCGUAUCAAAAAAAAAGAUUGCGACCUCGAUGUUGGAUUAAAAUUUAUUUAUGGUGUAGAAGCUAAAAUAUUAGGUCUGUUCG
rnacentral:rRNA from 1 species